rnacentral:rRNA from 1 species
UCUAGAAGCUUCGGCAAUGGGCGAAAGCCUGACCGAGCGACGCCGCGUGCAGGACGAAGGUCUUCGGAUUGUAAACUGCUUUCGACGGGGAUGAAAGGUAAGAGGGCGAAUACCCCCCUUAUUUGACAGUACCCGCAGAAGAAGCCCUGGCUAACUCCGUGCCAGCAGCCGCGGUAAUACGGAGAGGGCAAGCGUUGUUCGGAUUUAUUGGGCGUAAAGCGCGCGUAGGUGGCAUGGUAAGUCGGAUGUUAAAGACCCACGGCUCACCCGGGGGAAUGCGUCCGAUACUGCCGUGCUAGAGUGCGGGAGAGGAAAGUGGAAUUCCUGGUGUAGCGGUGAAAUGCGUAGAUAUCAGGAGGAACACCGGUGGCGAAGGCGGCUUUCUGGCCCGUAACUGACACUGAGGCGCGAAAGCGUGGGGAGCGAACGG